CAGCCGUAAACAAUGUGCGUUAGGUGUGUCGGUAACCACGCGUUACUGAUGCGCCGAAGAGAAAUCGUGAAACGCACCACCUGGGAAGUACGGUCGCAAGGCUGAAACUUAAAGGAAUUGGCGGGGGAGCACCACAACAGGUGGAGCCUGCGGUUUAAUUGGAUUCAACGCCGGACAUCUCACCGGAUAAGACAGCUGAAUGAUUGUCAAUCUGUAAGGUUUUACAUGACUAGCUGAGAGGUGGUGCAUGGGCGUCAGUGACU
rnacentral:rRNA from 1 species